CCUACGGGAGGCACCAGUAGGGAAUCUUCGGCAAUGGACGAAAGUCUGACCGAGCAACGCCGCGUGAGUGAAGAAGGUUUUCGGAUCGUAAAACUCUGUUGUUAGAGAAGAACAAGUAGGAGAGUAACUGCUCUUACCUUGACGGUAUCUAUCCAGAAAGCCACGGCUAACUACGUGCCAGCAGCCGCGGUAAUACGUAGGUGGCAAGCGUUGUCCGGAUUUAUAGGGCGUAAAGCGAGCGCAGGCGGUCUUUUAAGUCUGAUGUGAAAGCCCUCGGCUCAACCGAGGAAGGUCAUUGGAAACUGGAGGACUUGAGUGCAGAAGAGGAGAGUGGAAUUCCAUGUGUAGCGGUGAAAUGCGUAGAUAUAUGGAGGAACACCAGUGGCGAAGGCGACUCUCUGGUCUGUAACUGACGCUGAGGCUCGAAAGCGUGGGGAGCAAACAGGAUUAGAUACCGGAGUAAUC
rnacentral:rRNA from 1 species